rnacentral:rRNA from 1 species
GAUGAACGCUAGCUACAGGCUUAACACAUGCAAGUCGAGGGGCAGCAUGACGGAAGCUUGCUUCCGUUGAUGGCGACCGGCGCACGGGUGAGUAACGCGUAUCCAACCUGCCCUUGUCCAUCGGAUAACCCGUCGAAAGGCAGACUAGCACGAUAUGCAGUUCACCGCAGGCAUCUAACGUGAACGAAAUGUGAAGGAGAAGGAUGGGGAUGCGUCGGAUUAGCUUGUUGGCGGGGUAACGGCCCACCAAGGCGACGAUCAGUAGGGGUUCUGAGAGGAAGGUCCCCCACAUUGGAACUGAGACACGGUCCAAACUCCUAGGGGAGGCAGCAGUGAGGAAUAUUGGUCAAUGGGCGAGAGCCUGAACCAGCCAAGUAGCGUGCAGGAUGACGGCCCUAUGGGUUGUAAACUGCUUUUAUAUGGGGAUAAAGUGAGCCACGUGUGGCUUAUUGCAGGUACCGUAUGAAUAAGGACCGGCUAAUUCCGUGCCAGCCGCCGCAGUAA